UUAAUCAUUCCAAUUUUUUAACUAAGAAUUAAUUAAAUCAACUCAAUGUUUAGUCGUGCGUAUCGGACUAAAUAUUUUAGUUUUUCAACCAAUUUUUUUUCUCAGUGUAGAUUUAUAAUCAGCGAUCCUAAAUAAGUGACCUUUAGUAAGACGUAAAUUAAAUGCUAAUUCCUAGAAAAAUCAGGCACGAAAGAGUUAAUGUGAUUGCGUGUUCCGUGUGUUAAGUACAAUCUACUAUAAGAGUGCAGACAUUAUAGAAGAAAUAAGGCAUAGAGAAUAAGAAACAGUUCAUUAUGUUAAACAAGAAAGACAUGUCAAACAUUCCCUAUUCAAUAUAUUGAACCGUUCCUUAUUUCUUAUUUCUUCUAUUGUGACUGCAUCCUACGAUAUCAUAACGUCAAGGAAUUCUUAAAGAGAUCGUAUUUGGAGAGGCCAUUAGUCCAGGCCUAUAACAGGAGUAGCUAUGUAGUAAGUCGUAAAAAAUUGAUCAUCUUUAGUCGACUGUUCUUUUAAUCAUUCGACUGUGUGGACAAUUUCAUAAGGCUUAAAUUAUGAUUAUUACACCUAUUGUGGUUCGAAACUAAAAAAUAUAGCUUUUUAGCUAGUCUCCAAAAUAGCUUUCCUUAAAUAUCACUGCAAUUGAGAAAGUGAUUUCUUGUUACAAUAAUUAUAUAAAAAUUAAGAAGUGCAAAUAGUUUUUUUCUGGAAUUUUAUAGUAUAUUUACAUACCUGUAAAACAUUUAAUUUUGCAAAUUCGACCCAUAAUUAGGACUCGUAAUUAGGACCGUUUGCAUGUUGUAUUGUUACAUACAUACUUAUUGUAAAAGUUUUAAAUAUCGUUUGCAAACAACAAUUAAAUUCUGCUAAUGGCGGAUUCAUCUAUGAUUCGGUCUCUCGCCGUAAUGCCGCGAAAUAUUUCGCAUUUUACGUGAUUUUCCCUCGCCGUAUUUACAUUGGCGAUAAACCGAACUGCAUCUGUCGGAUGCAUCUUGACAGAUCGGAUCGCGAGGGAUGAAGAUUUUCUCGGUUUUCCGACGGAAGUGUUAUGUAAUAUCGUACAGGCGACGUCUGGCAAAAGUCCAUAAAUCCUCGUGAGAUCAUGAAGCGGAAGAGCAGGCGCUUUUACGCGCGUGCAUUUACGUUCGAAAACACUUUCGCCGCGGUUUCUCCUCGUUCCCCGUUGGCCCGAUGAAAGGAAGAAGGACGGAGGAGCAACGUGUUUCCCUUGUGCCGGGAGAAUCGCCGGAAGUACGUGGGAAACGUUUCCUUUCGGUCGCCCGCUGUCUAAUCUCGAAAUAUAUACGUGCCGUGUCUUUACGCAGACGUGCCUUUCACGUAAAUCACGUUCUUAUCUCUCGCGUGUCACUAUUUAGGGAUCCCGCGGUAGAAACGCACAUCUUGUUGCGCGUUUAGUUAAUGUGCGAUCGUCUUAUCUCUCCGUGUCACAAUCAAAGGAAGCGUCAAAAGAUAAAAUGUAAAAGACGAUCUCUGAAUGGAGGUGAGAACGCGUGCCUGUGACUUAUAUUUAAUGUCGGCAACUUUGCUACCGCGUCAAACCUUUUUGACCCAGUUGCGACUUCGAGUGAUUUAGGAGCGUUAAAGGUGAAGAUGCGAGAAACAUUCAUCGUUACUAUCGUCCCGAUUGACACGACUCGUACAGCACAGAAAAUUGCAGAAACAUUGCAGAAAUAUUUCUUUGCAAUAUUGCAAAAGCAUUACGAAAUGUUGCAGCAACGGUAAAAUGUCCAUUUUCAGAGCUAUUGUAAUGUAAUUUUGCAUCAAUGUUACGAUAAAAUGUAUAUUUAAUAAUAUGUAAUCGUAUAUCAUGAUAAUUAAGAUGUUUUUAAUUUGAACGAACAAUUGGUGAAAUAUGUAUACAAGAGAGUAUCAAAAAUUAAUAGGUAUAAUUAUAUAAAAUAAUUAUACAUAUAAGUAAAUUUGCCAUACACUAUUAAUAUCGUAUUAUAUAAAAUAUAUACUAUUAUACAUGUUAAUACAUUAUUAAUAUCGCAAUUGCAGUUGAAUGCAAAUUUACAUAUGUAUAAUUAUUUUCUUAAUUUUUCGCAUUUAUAUACAUCCUACAAAUUGUUCGUGAUUGAGAUAUAAUUAAAUUAUAUUUUGGUUUGAAAGAUUUCUUUAAUUACGGAAAUUGUUAAUACCAAAUAUUUUCAAAAAUAGCUCUGCUUGUGUCUAAUCACAGUAGAGAUUCGUGCUUAAAUGCAAUACAAAACUUCUAUGAAAUUGUUUAAAAGCUUAAUAAAUUAGAAAAUUUGCACACAAAUAUUUAUACAUAAAAUCUUUGCAGUUUAUUUUCACAAUAAUUUAAAAUAGUACUACAAUAUUACUAAUUCUUUGUUUAUUAUUAGAUUCCUUCUGCGAACACGACAGAGUCAUUCAUGUUAGAAUUAAUUUUCAGUACUUUUACAAAGAAAUUUUUAAGUGAUUCUUACGCACGUUUUAACAUCUUGAAAAAAUAUUUGUAAAUUGUUAAUUUAAAAAAUAAUCAUAUAUAAAUGUUAUAACUAAUUAAUAGCUGACAAGAGAUCAAAGAAAUGUAUGUUUUUACACAAAAAUUUAUAACUUUGAAACAAAAUGACUUAAGGAAAAAUACUUUCAUGCCUCAAAGUUGACAUUUCAACUGCAUAGUUUAAGUGUUGGCUUUUGAAAAAGUUGAAUGAUUCAAACUUGAAAAUGACAUUUUUUAAUAUAAAUUGAAAGUAUAUUGCAUUUUUACAUAUUUUUAUUCUUUUUUUUAGGUUUGAAUUGUUUUGAAAAAUGAUACAUAUAUUAUCUAGUUAUUUUUUAAUGUUUGGAACAACAUUGAAUAUACAAAUGUUAAAAAAUAAAAAUUUUAAAUGACGAAUUUAAUAUUACGAAUUUGAAUAAAAUAUUAAAUUGUAAUGGAAUUGAAUCAUGGGCGUAAUUGGUUGUUUAUUUGCGGAUUUUGUUUAUUUUAAGUAAAUGUAAAGAAAUUGUUGAUUUUUUUUCCUCUGUAAAUAUCAAUCAAUAGCAUUUCUAUAUUAAUAGUUAUUUUUCCAAUUAUUGAAACAAAAAGUUUAAAAAUUACGCAUGUUUAUACAUUGUGUAUAAGUAUCAACAGAAAUUUAUAUCACUUAUAUAUGAGUAAUUGCCGUACAAAAAUAAUACUCGCAUCAAAUUUAUUAUGAUUAGUCAAAUUUAUUAUAACAAACUGAGAAGCUCGUUUAUGUCAAGAACAAAUUAAUAUGGAUAAAAGGCCAAAAUAACGAACUAUAUUAUCUGAUAGACCUUGAAAAUUUAUUACAAUAUAAUAAUGUUUGCAAAACUUAAAGCGCGGAACAUGUUUCGAUCUUACUUGAUCCUUUUCAAACCUAAUAACUGUCUGAUAAAAUUCAAAUUUAUUAUAACAAACCGACAAGCUCGUUUAUGUCAAAAACAAAUUAAUAUGAAUAAAAGAUCAAAAUAACGAACAAUAUCAUUUGAUAGAUUUUGAAAAUUUAUUACAAUAUAAUAAUGUUCGCAAAACUUAAAGCAUGGAACAUGUUCCAAUCUUACUUGAUCCUUUCCAAACCUCAUAACUGUCUGAUAAAAUUUGAAACAUGUUUCAGUAAUAAAUUUUCAAGAUCUUUCACAUGAUAUUGUUUGUUAUUUUGACCUUUUAUUCAUAUUAAUUUGUUUUUGACAUAAACGAGCUUGUCAGUUUGUUAUAAUAAAUUUGAAUUUUAUCAGACAGUUAUUAGGUUGUUUUAUACGCUGGCCUUAAAAGGCAUGAUCAUAAUAGACAAGAUUAUUAUUGUUGUUGGAAUUUAAAUUUUGUCAGACAGUUAUUACAUUUGAAAAGGAUCAAGAUCGAAACAUGUUCCGUACUUUAACUUUUGCGAAUAUUAUUAUAUUGUAAUAAAUCUUCAAGAUCUAUCAGAUAAUAUUGCUCGUUAUUUAGCCUUUUAUUCAUAUUAAUCAAAUUUAUUAUGUUAAAUCUAUUUUAUUAGUCUGAUAACUUUUCAAUCUUAUUACAUAAAUAUCACAGGCACACAAAAAAACAAAAGUGUCAUGUCCGAGAAACUACACCUAUGUAUCCCUAUGUAUUUUGGCACUCUCAAACCGAAUAUAACCUCAGAAUUGCUUCAUCAGGUCAGGAUCUUUUUUACACUCAAAAAAAUGCCAAAUAUUCCUUACACUAUUUAGCCUGGUAAAAAAAAUUCUGAUCUGAUGGAGCAAUUCUGGUUGUGCAUAGCUACACACAUAAAAAAAAGUGCCAUGUCCGAGAGAUUAAACCUUUGUAUUCCUAUGUAUUUUGAGGCUCUGAAACCGAAUAUAACCUCAGAAUUACUCCAUCAGAUCAAUAUUUUAUUUUACUUAUAAAAUUGCUAAACGUUCCUUAAAAUUACACAUUAUUUAACCCGGUAAAAAAAGAAUCUUGACUUGAUGGAGCAAUUCUGAAGUCAUAUUCAGUUUCAGGACGUCAAAACACAUAAGGAUACAUAGGUGUAGUCUCUCGGACAUGAUACUUUUGUUUUUUUUUGUGUGCCUGUGUAUUUUUUUAUAUUUUAUUAUUGUAUUUAUAUCACAAUAUUUUUCAGUUAAAGUUUAAAUAAUGUCCAUUAAAACAACCCCUUGUUGAAUUAAAUAACUGAAUAUUUAUUAUACUAAAAAUAUAAUUUUUUAAAGACUUUCAUACAUAUAUGAAUGUCUCUUUAAAGAAUUAUUAGUCCCGAAUAAGUUGAAUAGUGCAUUUUAUUAUGAACAUAGUGUUAUAAAAACUUAACACUAAUUAUUAGAAGCAUUUUUUAAUAUUGUUUAAAACAUGUAUGAUGUCAAGCGUUUGAUGUUGAUUUUCUUAAAUUUGAACUUAAAAUUAUCACAGUUUAAUUUUUUUUUAUAUUUUUGAAAUCCCUUUAAUAUAAACGAGUAUUAGUUGAAAAAAUUAACGUUAAUUGAAAUUAAAGAAAAAAAUAAAAAUUUACAAGUAUAAAAGAAAUAUUUUUUUUCAAUAUUUUUGAAAUCUCUUCAAUAUAAACGAGAAUUAGGUGAAAAAAUUAAAGGUAAUUGAAAAUAAAGAAAAAAAUAAAAAUGUACUCAAAUA